rnacentral:lncRNA from 1 species
GACGUGUUCUGAUGGGACUCAAAGGCCUUCAGAAGAACUGCCAGAAGACCAUCAGUCUUGCAGG